rnacentral:rRNA from 1 species
UACGUAGGGUGCGAGCGUUGUCCGGAAUUACUGGGCGUAAAGAGCUCGUAGGUGGUUUGUCGCGUUGUCCGUGAAAACUCACAGCUUAACUGUGGGCGUGCGGGCGAUACGGGCAGACUGGAGUACUGCAGGGGAGACUGGAAUUCCUGGUGUAGCGGUGAAAUGCGCAGAUAUCAGGAGGAACACCGAUGGCGAAGGCAGGUCUCUGGGCCAUAACUGACGCUGAGGCGCGAAAGCGUGGGGAGCAAACGGG